UCUCUCUCUCUAAAAUUCAACCUUCUUCAUCUCCCUCUCACCAUUUUCUCUCUCCGAAAAAAACAGUCACUGAAGCUUAAAAAAAUGUCGAUGAAGCUUCAAUUCACUCGAUUAUUCGCUGAUUUCAGAUUGAAGAUGAAGGAAGUAGAAAAAUACAAAAAAUAAGCCGAAAAAAAACCUACGAAGGAAUAAGGUAAACAACAAUACACAAAUCUUGCACUAUUUUUCUUGUUUUUAGACCUUAAUUUGAGUAAUCAAUUGACCGAAUGUUCUGUUUUUUGAUUUAUUUUUUCUGAAAAUUUUUAUGCUUAUUUUCUGAAUGUUUUUGUUAUUAUUUUCUGAAUCCAUAAUUAGUUUGUUCUGAAUUUUUGUGAAUUUAUGAAUUAUUAGGUUAUUAAUUAAUUUAUGAUUUUUUGAAUUAAUUUGUGAAAAUUUUCUUUAUUUUCUUAUUUGCUUAUUGUAUGAAUUAAUUCAUGAUGUUCUAAAACUUAUAGUUAUAUGUUCUGAAUGUUUAAAUAGACAAAAUUCAAAUGCCGGAUAUGACAUUAAACGCACCCAAACAUCAGAGCCACAAUGCACAUGUAGUCGUCCUAUUUUCGAACAAGCACUUCUGAAAGACGUACUUGUAAAUGUUAGGUAAUAUUUUAUAAUCUCAAUUCGUUAGAACAUGAAGGUUCAACAUUUAGAACAUGAAGGUUCGUUGUUUAGAACAAAAUUCUUUAAUGUUUAGAACAUGGAAGUUACUUAUAGUGAUGGUUGAAGUAUUGAGAAAUGGAAGAUAUUGGAAGAUAUUGUAUUGAGAACAAAUUUCUUUAAUGUUUAGAACAUGGAAGUUACUUAUAGUGAUCUCACUAUAUUUUCCAUAUUUGAACCUUAUGUGUGACUGUGUAACAUCAAAUCAACAAAUAUUGGCUUGAAUUUAAAUUUGGUUAUUUGAUGUUUGCGCUUUUAUAUAAGUUGAAGUUUCAUCGUCUUGGUAUAUGUAUGUACUUAUAAUGAAAACAUUGUAAUUUAAUCAGGAAUCAUGUGCUUAAUACUACCGAGUUUCUUGGAUUUACUUUUCUCUUUCUGAUUAUGGUGAAUAUAAUGAUAUUACUCUGCUACAGAACUAACAAAUUUCAAUUUAUCCUCCUAAAGCUGAUUCAAAAUUACUUCCUAGCUUUUUGUAUCUAAUUUUUAUGCAUAGGGAUAUACUUUAUAAGUUUUGUCAAGAAUUUUACUUCAUUCAGUAACCAAAAACGUACAACUAAUCAUACACAUUCUCUGUUAACUUUAGCAUUUUGAUAAUUUCCCUAGAAAAUACUGAAAAGGAAUUAAGGAAUAACCAGAUCUUGUGUCAUAAGAGUUGUGGACAAGAUUGAAAGUUGGUCACACACAGGAACAUGAAUAAAUAGUAGUCUAGAGACGCUUAAUUCAACUUAUCAAGUUAUUCUUAAAUAUAAACUGGACCUUUUGUAGCAAAGGAAUAAUUUUUUUCCGAAGAAGAAAACUUUUGUGAUGUAUCUUCAUAUUUUCUUAACCAAAUUUCAAUUUCAAAACCUAUCUUAUAUGUUGGUUUGGUUGGCUAGAAGAAUUUGAGCCUCUUUCGCUUUAUAAAAAGGGGCAAUCAUUGUUGUCUAAACUCUAAACACACUUAUCAAUCACAAUUCUAAUUUUUUUUACUUGUUGUAUUCGAAAGUUGGAAGCUGUCUAUUUUAUCUCUUUGUUAACCCUCCUUUUUUCCACUAUCCAAAUGGAAAAUUAAAACCUAUGGGUUCUGUAGUUGCUAAGAUUAUGAACCUUCAUUUCUUAAUAUGUUGAUUUCGUAUUGAAGUUGCUAAAGUGUUUUUUCUUCUUCUUUUCAAGUCUUCUAAGUCCCGUGAAAGCAUAUAGUCAAUUGGUAAAUGUUGUCCUUAUGGGAAAGUGAUUGACAUUCUUUGGGUCAUAUGAAGUGGGCAUGCAAAAAAAAAAAAAAAAGUGUGUUCCUCGAUGAAAAUAGAAACAGAUUUGGACUGAAAUUCUUUUGAAAUAUAUAAUUUGUCUCAAGAACAUGCGUUUUACCUGAAUAUCUUGAAAUGGUUAUAGGAAAUAAUAAUAUGAGCACAUAUGCAAACAUAUUUGUGUUGGUUCAUGGAAGCAUUUAUGUUGGUCUUAGAAUACCAUAUCAACCAGUGCCCAAUGGUAUGCCCUUCCAUAAUUUAUAUACAAUUCCAGGAGUGACUUUGUUUCUUGCUUUGUAUCCUUCUGUGUUGAUUGAUAUAUCUCCUUCUAAUUUGAACAUGUAGCUUAACUGAUUAGAACAUGUAGCUUAACUGAUUAGAACAUAUAGCUGAACUGAUUAGAACAUGUAGCUUAACUAAUUAGAACAUUUAGGAAUAAAGUACAUAACAUAUUGCUUCACUUGUUAGAACAUAUAAGUUUAAUUGUUAGAACAUAUUAAGUUUAAUUGUUAGAACAUAUAGCUUCUCUUGUUAGAACAUAUUGCUUCACUAGUUAGAACAUAUAGUACAUUGGUUAGAACAUAUAACAUAUGUUUUUUUUAAUAUAAUAUGUACAUAUUUAAAACAUAACUAAAUUUAUUUCAUAUGUUGCGAGGAAACCGAAGCUCACCUCGAUAAAGAAAUUGAUCUCAUCAAAGGGGGACAAGGCCUGCUGAUGUGCAACAUAAUGUGGAACCAAUUGUUGAGCACGAUAUUAAGGAAGUGGACCAGAAACAUUGAAAACCAAGGAAACAUGUUGAAAAGAUGAAAGAGAGGACAAAAAGUAUUGUUAGAGAUGUCAAGAAGCACAAGACUAUAGUUGAGGUGCGUUCAGGGCCACAAGACUGUGUAGAAGUGGAUAAAAAAUCAAGACUGGUGGAGAAAGCUAGACUCUUGAGUAUUGUACAUGUUACUUGCAUGUGUUUGUGCGCUCUUUCAUGUGUACUUGUGUAAAUUCAGAACAUUAAGUUCGAGAAUGCAAAACAUUUAGCUUAGGAAUGCAGAACAUUUAGUUUGGAACUCAAAACAUCUAGUUUUAGAAUUCAGAACAUUUAGUUUGGGAA